CAGUACUGCUGGAUGCUGUUUGAAGGUGGUUUAGAUGGUAUAUUUGUGAGAGCGGUGAGUUAAGGUUGGGUGCAGUACUGCUGGAUGCAGUUUGAAGGUGGUUUAGAUGGUGUUGUAGUUGUGAGAGCGGUGAGUAAAGGUUGGGUACAGUACUGCUGAAUACUGUUUGAAGGUGGUUUAGAUGGUGUUGUAGUUGUGAGAGCGGUGAGUAAAGGUUGGGUGCAGUACUGCUGGAUGCUGUUUGAAGGUGGUUUAGAUGGUGUUGUAGUUGUGAGAGCGGUGAGUAAAGGUUGGGUACAGUACUGCUGGAUACUGUUUGAAGGUGGUUUAGAUGGUGUUGUAGUUGUGAGAGUGGUGAGUAAAGGUUGGGUACAGUACUGCUGGAUGCAGUUUGAAGGUGGUUUAGAUGGUAUAUUUGUGAGAGCGGUGAGUAAAGGUUGGGUACAGUACUGCUGGAUGCAGUUUGAAGGUGGUUUAGAUGGUGUUGUAGUUGUGAGAGCGGUGAGUAAAGGUUGGGUACAGUACUGCUGGAUGCAGUUUGAAGGUGGUUUAGAUGGUGUUGUAGUUGUGAGAGCGGUGAGUAAAGGUUGGGUACAGUACUGCUGGAUGCUGUUUGAAGGUGGUUUAGAUGGUGUUGUAGUUGUGAGAGCGGUGAGUAAAGGUUGGGUACAGUACUGCUGGAUGCUGUUUGAAGGUGGUGUAGAUGGUGUUGUAGUUUAGAUGCAGUUUGAAGGUAGUUUAGAUGGUGUUGUAGUUGUGAGAGCAGUGAGUAAAGGUUGGGUACAGUAAUGCUGGAUGCUGUUUGAAGGUGGUUUAGAUGGUGUUGUAGUUGUGAAAGUGGUAAGUAAAGGUUGGUCACAGUACUGCUGGAUUCAGUUUGAAGGUGGUUUAGAUGGUAUAUUUGUGAGAGCGGUGAGUAAAGGUUGGGUACAGUACUGCUGGAUACUGUUUGAAGGUGGUUUAGAUGGUGUUGUAGUUGUGAGAGUGGUGAGUAAAGGUUGGGUACAGUACUGCUGGAUGCCGUUUGAAGGUGGUUUAGAUGGUGUUGUAGUUGUGAGAGCAGUGAGUACAGGUUGGGUACAGUAAUGCUGGAUGCUGUUUGAAGGUGGUUUAGAUGGUGUUGUAGUUGUGAAAGUGGUAAGUAAAGGUUGGUCACAGUACUGCUGGAUUCAGUUUGAAGGUGGUUUAGAUGGUAUAUUUGUGAGAGCGGUGAGUAAAGGUUGGGUACAGUACUGCUGGAUACUGUUUGAAGGUGGUUUAGAUGGUGUUGUAGUUGUGAGAGUGGUGAGUAAAGGUUGGGUACAGUACUGCUGGAUGCAGUUUGAAGGUGGUUUAGAUGGUGUUGUAGUUGUGAGAGCGGUGAGUAAAGGUUGGGUACAGUACUGCUGGAUGCUGUUUGAAGGUGGUUUAGAUGGUAUAUUUGUGAGAGCGGUGAGUAAAGGUUGGGUGCAGUACUGCUGGAUGCUGUUUGAAGGUGGUUUAGAUGGUGUUGUAGUUGUGAGAGCGGUAAGUAAAGGUUGGUCACAGUACUGCUGGAUUCAGUUUGAAGGUGGUUUAGAUGGUAUAUUUGUGAGAGCGGUAAGUAAAGGUUGGUCACAGUACUGCUGGAUUCAGUUUGAAGGUGGUUUAGAUGGUAUAUUUGUGAGAGCGGUGAGUAAAGGUUGGGUAUAGUACUGCUGGAUACUGUUUGAAGGUGGUUUAGAUGGUGUUGUAGUUGUGAGAGCGGUGAGUAAAGGUUGGGUACAGUACUGCUGGAUACUGUUUGAAGGUGGUUUAGAUGGUGUUGUAGUUGUGAGAGCAGUGAGUAAAGGUUGGGUACAGUACUGCUGGAUGCAGUUUGAAGGUGGUUUAGAUGGUAUAUUUGUGAGAGCGGUGAAUAAAGGUUGGCUACAGUACUGCUGGAUGCUGUUUGAAGGUGGUUUAGAUGGUGUUGUAGUUGUGAGAGCGGUGAGUAAAGGUUGGGUACAGUACUGCUGGAUACUGUUUGAAGGUGGUUUAGAUGGUGUUGUAGUUGUGAGAGCAGUGAGUAAAGGUUGGGUAAAGUACUGCUGGAUGCAGUUUGAAGGUGGUUUAGAUGGUAUAUUUGUGAGAGCGGUAAGUAAAGGUUGGUCACAGUACUGCUGGAUUCAGUUUGAAGGUGGUUUAGAUGGUAUAUUUGUGAGAGCAGUGAGUAAAGGUUGGGUACAGUACUGCUGGAUACUGUUUGAAGGUGGUUUAGAUGGUGUUGUAGUUGUGAGAGCAGUGAGUAAAGGUUGGGUAAAGUACUGCUGGAUGCAGUUUGAAGGUGGUUUAGAUGGUAUAUUUGUGAGAGCGGUGAGUAAAGGUUGGGUAUAGUACUGCUGGAUACUGUUUGAAGGUGGUUUAGAUGGUGUUGUAGUUGUGAGAGCGGUGAGUAAAGGUUGGGUACAGUACUGCUGGAUACUGUUUGAAGGUGGUUUAGAUGGUGUUGUAGUUGUGAGAGCAGUGAGUAAAGGUUGGGUACAGUACUGCUGGAUGCAGUUUGAAGGUGGUUUAGAUGGUAUAUUUGUGAGAGCGGUGAAUAAAGGUUGGCUACAGUACUGCUGGAUGCUGUUUGAAGGUGGUUUAGAUGGUGUUGUAGUUGUGAGAGCGGUGAGUAAAGGUUGGGUACAGUACUGCUGGAUACUGUUUGAAGGUGGUUUAGAGGGUGU